GUGGAGGACGAAGGUCUUCGGAUCGUAAACUCCUGUCAGACGGGACGAACGGACGUCGGUAAAUAAUCGACGUCUUUGACGGUACCGUCAGAGGAAGCCCCGGCUAACUCCGUGCCAGCACCGCGGUAAUA
rnacentral:rRNA from 1 species